rnacentral:hammerhead_ribozyme from 1 species
GUGCAGCUGAUGAGUCCCAAAUAGGACGAAAUGCGCGUCCAGGAU